rnacentral:rRNA from 1 species
UACGUAGGGUGCAAGCGUUGUCCGGAAUCAUUGGGCGUAAAGCGCGCGUAGGUGGCCCGGUAAGUCCGCUCUGAAAGUCACAGGCUCAACCUGUGAAAGCGGGUGGAUACUGCCGGGCUAGAGUCCGGAAGAGGCGAGUGGAAUUCCUGGUGUAGCGGUGGAAUGCGCAGAUAUCAGGAGGAACACCAACGGCGAAGGCAGCUCGCUGGGACGGUACUGACACUGAGGAGCGAAAGCGUGGGGAGCGAACAGG